ACUAAAAUAGUUUAAAUAAAAUAUUGAUUUGUGGAGUCGAAGAUGUGAUAUAGCUCAUUUUUAGUU
rnacentral:tRNA from 1 species